CGUGGUCCUAACUAUCUGUGCAGCUCCAUCUCACGACAUGCCUGCCUUUGUUCUUUCUACUCACUGCCACCCCUACAGCCACAAUAAUGUGAAACUGCCUUAGGAAAAUUCCGAUGCUGUUGUGGAAAAAGCAGUGAAGGUCUCCAACAGGACGCUGCUUGUCUGGUCCCAGAGCCGGCUCUACCCCGGGCCGGCAGAUGCCAGCCAGGAGCGGGCGCUGGCUCGCGAGCUCGCGGGGACAGCCGUCCUGAUGCCUUUGGGUCACUAAGCUACAAAGAAACACUCUGUUUUAAAAGUCGUCUUACAGAAAGUAAUAAAGUGCUGUUUCUUGGGG